UAACUGCGAGUGAAGCGGCAAAAGCUCAAAUUUGAAAUCUGGCGUCCUCUGGGCGUCCGAGUUGUAAUUUGGAGGAGCGUCUUCGGGAGCGGCACCGUCCUAAGUUCUUUGGAACAGGACGUCAUAGAGGGUGAGAAUCCCGUGCCUGGGCGGUUGACCGUUCCCAUGUGAAGUGCUUCCGACGAGUCGAGUUGUUUGGGAAUGCAGCUCAAAAUGGGUGGUAAAUUUCAUCUAAAGCUAAAUAUUGGCGAGAGACCGAUAGCGCACAAGUAGAGUGAUCGAAAGAUGAAAAGCACUUUGAAAAGAGAGUUAAAAAGUACGUGAAAUUGUUGAAAGGGAAGCGCUUGAGAUCAAACUCGGCCUUUGGUGAUCCACUGGGCUUCUGUCCGGUGAAACUUUGCCAUUGGCCGGGCCAGCAUCGGUUCUGACGGUGGGAAAAACGGUUGGGGAAUGUGGCUCCUCUCGGGGAGUGUUUAUAGACCCGGCCUUUGAUACCGCCAGUUGGGACCGAGGACCGCGCUUUGGCUAGGAUGCUGGCGUAAUGGUCUUAAGCGACCCGUC
rnacentral:rRNA from 1 species